GCCGGAAAUACGCAAAGGGGGUUCCGGUGCCGCACAGGUUCCGGCGACUAAGGCGGCAAAAUGGAGGAGACGCCUCACAACUGCCCCGGAACCGGCAGCGCCCAGGCCGGCCGAGGGGCCGCCUGUCAAGGGUGCCCCAACCAGCGGCUGUGCGCUUCAGGCGCCGGCGAGGCUCCGGACCCAGCCAUAGAGGAAAUCAAAGAGAAAAUGAAGACCGUGAAACACAAAAUCUUGGUGUUGUCUGGGAAAGGCGGCGUUGGGAAAAGCACGUUCAGCGCCCACCUUGCUCACGCCCUAGCGGAGGAUGAAAACACGCAGGUUGCUCUUCUAGACAUCGAUAUAUGUGGGCCGUCCAUUCCAAAGAUAAUGGGAUUGGAAGGAGAACAGGUGCACCAGAGUGGCUCGGGCUGGUCUCCAGUGUUCCUGGAAGACAACCUGGGGGUGAUGUCAGUGGGUUUCUUACUCAGCAGCCCCGACGACGCUGUCAUCUGGAGAGGACCCAAGAAGAACGGCAUGAUCAAGCAGUUCCUCCGCGAUGUGGACUGGGGAGAGGUCGACUACCUCAUCGUGGACACCCCCCCUGGGACGUCGGACGAGCACCUCUCGGUCGUCCAGUACCUGGCCGCCGCGCACAUCGAUGGCGCCGUGAUCAUCACCACCCCUCAGGAGGUGUCCCUGCAGGAUGUCCGGAAAGAAAUCAGCUUCUGCCACAAGGUGAAGCUGCCCGUCAUCGGGGUGGUAGAGAACAUGAGCGGCUUCGUCUGCCCCAAGUGCAAGAAAGAGUCUCAGAUAUUCCCGCCCACAACGGGGGGUGCAGAGGCCAUGUGCCAGGACCUGAAGAUACCGCUCCUCGGCAAAGUGCCUCUGGACCCGCACAUAGGGAAGAGUUGUGAUGAAGGACGGUCUUUUUUGGUUGACGCGCCGGAUUCACCAGCUACGGUAGCCUACAGAAGCAUCAUUCAAAUGGCUCCGGCUCCGUAUUCCUAAGAAUGUAUCAGCAGUUCCAGCCAGAGCACCUCUUCGCUCAAAUCGACCACCUGCACCAGGACAGCCACCACCGGGCGCCGCGGCAUCACGGGGGCCUCACCUUCACAGACCAGAAAUCGAAGGACAGAAGGAGGAGCACGGUGACGAAGCAGCCCACAAAGCUUCUGCUGAACCAGUCGCAGCCCACGCUGUGGUUUCCUGAAAUAAAACACAGAAAAAAUUCCAAUUGUUGGAAAGUUCUGCUUAGUUGGGAGGUAUUAUUAUUGUCAUUCAAUCAAAUUACUAUUAUUCGCACAACGCCCAAAGCAAGUAGAAAAUGAUGCCUGUUGCACUUUCAAAUAUUGCUUUAAUCCUGUCUUAUGCAGGCUGCUCUCUGGACAACCCUCCAAAGCCUCAUGCAGUCUCUCUCUGGAAUUUGCCCAGCCUUUGCCCCCAGCUAGCGCUAAUGUGGCCGCAGACCAGUUUUCUAGUUUUGCGAGUUUUCUAGUUUUGAGAGUUUUGAAGGCUAUGGCUUAAGCCUGUCCAUUCUUCCCUGCCAUGGGGUCCUCCAUCCUGCCAGCAUUCUCUCCUGCCACCUCCGCAGUUGCAGAGCAAACACACACACCGAUGCCACCUCCACCUCUCAAUGCCACUGGCUUCCAAUUCCACCCUCCCAGGCACCCACCUGGUCGUCCCUUGAGAGGUGCCCAACUGCCAGGGUUCCAGUCCUGGCUCCAACCUCAGAGUCUAAGCUACAUAACCCCUCAGCCUCAGUCUCUGCUUCUGUACAAUGGGUGUGCGAGCAGCAGCCACUUCCUAGGAUACUGAACAGAUCAAGUGGAGCUGGUGAGUAUGAAGUGCUAGAAACACAGGCCGUGCUCGGUAACUGCAAGCAGCUGUUGUUAUCUCAGCCCUCGGAGUCACUCGAAACUGUUCCACCUCGAGGAGCCACACUGGAAAAUUCCCCUUCUGACCACAACUUUCCCCCUCUCAUUCCCCGGGGGCACUUUUCUUCUCAGGAUUCCCCCAAGACUCCAGAUUCCAUAUUCCCCUGCCCCGAUGCUUUUGCUGAAGAACCACCUUCAUUCCUCAACUUUAAUACGGAGAGUUUUCCACUGGGUCCCCAACGCCCCCUCCACCUGGCCCGUAGAAGCCUGUUCUCUCAGUAGAGGAGGUGGGAAGAAUGACAGAUGGUGAAAGGGGAAAUGAGACCUUCAUCAAAGUGUUAAGGUGGGAAGAGGCUCAAUGGGCAUUUGUUUACAUUUAAAGCUAUUUGUGGAGUUCUUGGUCCCAGGACACCUACUGUCUUCCUCCUUAGAAGGAAACACUGAGAUGUCUCAACCUGGAAAGUGCAUGAGAGUCUCCUGAGGGGCCUUCAAAUGUGCACGCUCCUGUCCCACACACGCGGGCACAGGCUGAGCGGGCCUGGACAGAACCUCACAGAGCUUUGAAAGCUCUGCUCUACACUGGUUCGCAAACGCAGGCCCAGCGCCCCGUUGGGCUCACUUCCUAUCUCCGUAACUAAAGUUUUAUUGGAACGCAGCCAUGCUCACUCAUUCGCUGGCCUGCAAAGCUAAAAUAUUUACCCAGAAAGUGUGCCAACCCCUGGUCCAGACCAGCAGGAACAAUUUGGUGAUGAAAUCAGGCUCCACUCAAAACAAACCAAAAAGGAAACAAGCUGCUACUAACGGCCACUUUUCCCCUAAAACAAUCUGCUUUCAAUAGUGGCAGCGUGGGAGCUGCCUGACCAGCAGAACCAGCGAUUAUGCUGGAAGUCAGUAGCCAUUUCUGGACAGUAGAGGGGCGGUGACGGGGAAGGUGCACAAGGAGCCUUCUGGGUGCUGAGAUGGUCCACAUCUUGACCAUAUGUGUACAAAUUCAUCAAACCGUAUGCUUAAGAUUCGUGUGCUUAACUGUAGAACACUACACCUCAAUAAAAAAUGUUUCUGAUUGAAGCCACUGACCAAGGAAAAAUGUUUGCAAGUCACACUAAAAAUUCUCCAUGUGAUACAGUCCAGCAAAUGCACGCCCCAGGAUUUACCCAAAGAAGUUGAAAACGUACGUCUGCACACAGAUAUUCAUAAUUGUCCAAAAGAGGAAGCAGCUAAGAUGUCCUUUCAUAGGUGAAUGGAUAAACUGUGGCACAUCUACACAAUGGAAUAUUACUCAGCACUAAAAAGAAAUGAGCCAUCAAGCCAGGAGAAGUCAUGGAGGAACCUUAAGUGCAUAUGACUAAGCUAAGGAAGCCAGUCUGGAAAGACUACACACUGUUUGAUUCCAGCUAUAUGACAUUCUGGAAAAGACUAAGCUAUGGAGACAGUAAAAAAGAUUUCUUCGGCUCACAGAUGAAGACAGAAUGAUAGAAUUAGAAUGCCCCCAUGACGCAUGCCCCAAUGUUAAAGAGUAGCAGCUGAGGACACCCAGGCAUUAGGAGCUCCCUGAUGGAAGAACACACUAGAACCACCCAGCCCAGCUGCUCCCAGACCCUGACCUUUAGGCUCAGUGGAGGAGACUUGGGGUUACUAAUUGAGGGAGAGACAGAGAGCAGAGCAGCCAAGGACUGACUUUCCAGAAGGCCGGAGAAGAAGUCAGCAGUAGGAAGGUGCGCAGAGCAGGUGACACCCUGGAGAGGCUGAAGGAGGUAAGGGACCUGGGUUCCUGCUCGUUUUCACCCCUGUUGUGAGUAGGGUGCUGGUUGUUUGUUUGCAUUGGAAGUAAAAAGUAGAAUUCA